UUGCACGCUGGCGGCAGGCCUCACACCUGCAAGUCGAGCGGAUGAAGGGAGCUUGCUCCUGGAUUCAGCGGCGGACGGGUGAGUAAUGCCUAGGAAUCUGCCUGGUAGUGGGGGAUAACGUCCGGAAACGGGCGCUAAUACCGCAUACGUCCUGAGGGAGAAAGUGGGGGAUCUUCGGACCUCACGCUAUCAGAUGAGCCUAGGUCGGAUUAGCUAGUUGGUGGGGUAAAGGCCUACCAAGGCGACGAUCCGUAACUGGUCUGAGAGGAUGAUCAGUCACACUGGAACUGAGACACGGUCCAGACUCCUACGGGAGGCAGCAGUGGGGAAUAUUGGACAAUGGGCGAAAGCCUGAUCCAGCCAUGCCGCGUGUGUGAAGAAGGUCUUCGGAUUGUAAAGCACUUUAAGUUGGGAGGAAGGGCAGCAAGUUAAUACCUUGCUGUUUUGACGUUACCAACAGAAUAAGCACCGGCUAACUUCGUG
rnacentral:rRNA from 1 species